GUUGGGUUAGAAUAGGUGGUCAGUUCACCAGACUUUCAAUCUGGAGAGAGGAGUUCAAACCUUCUACCCAAUACA
rnacentral:tRNA from 1 species